AGAAUCAACGCUGGCGGCGUGCCUAACACAUGCAAGUCGAACGAGAAAGUGGAGCAAUCCAUGAGUAAAGUGGCGCACGGGUGAGUAACACGUGACUAACCUACCCUUGAGUGGGGGAUAACCUAGAGAAAUCUGGGCUAAUACCGCAUAAUACCUUCGGGUCAAAGGAGCAAUUCGCUUAAGGAGGGGGUCGCGGCCGAUUAGUUAGUUGGCGGGGUAAUGGCCCACCAAGACUGUGAUC
rnacentral:rRNA from 1 species